rnacentral:rRNA from 2 species
UACAGAGGGUGCGAGCGUUAAUCGGAUUUACUGGGCGUAAAGCGUGUGUAGGCGGUUUGUUAAGUCGGGUGUGAAAUCCCUGGGCUCAACCUGGGAAUUGCAUUCGAUACUGGCAAGCUAGAGUACGGUAGAGGGCGGCGGAAUUCCGGGUGUAGCGGUGAAAUGCGUAGAUAUCCGGAGGAACACCGAUGGCGAAGGCAACCGCCUGGGCCUGUACUGACGCUGAGACACGAAAGCGUGGGGAGCAAACAGG